UAAGGAGUUUGUAAUACUGAAAAAGAAAGAGAGCUGUCUCAACUUAUUCAUAUAUGGAUUUUCAACACACAGUCUUGCUUUCACCUAACAAUAGAAAGUAUUAAGUUCCUGAAACUUGUAAAUCUCGUGACCAAACUUAUAAAGCUAAUAACACGAUUGAACGUUCAGGACCUUCCAGACCACGCCUGAGAAGUAACAGAAAUUAUGGCACAGGAUCCUGUAGCCUGCAUCGAACAUCACAGAUAAAUGACGAAUUCAGACGGAGCUCUACAUUCAUUCAUUGCACAACUGGACCAGUUGCCAUUGCUUU